CAAUCACCGGUUCAUCCCGGGAGGUGUCCGGCCGAUACCGGUACACAGAGUCACUGAUGCCAGCGAUUCGGCAGGCUCUGCGAAUGCUGACGCCGUGAGCCUGCUUAAGGUAAUCCACCCGUUCUCGUCGAACGGCUGGCUUU
rnacentral:sRNA from 18 species